UCAUCGUUAGUAUAGUGGUGAGUAUCCCCGCCUGUCACGCGGGAGACCGGGGUUCAAUUCCCCAACGGGGAG
rnacentral:tRNA from 1 species